GGUGGGCUGGGCUCAGCCUGGCGGUGCUGACUGGACCCCUCCUGGGUUUGCAGCACCUGGGCCUGCAGAAGAGAACAGCCGGACUCACCCUCAGGGGAGGCAUCACAAAGAGUGUGCAGUCUUGAAGGAAGAUGUUGAGCCUUCAGUAAAAGCUCAGGAUGCAAGCACUGAAGAAAUACUGGGUUAUGAAAAAUCAUCUCGGUGUGACUUCAUCUCCCUCUGAAGAUCUAGAACGAACCUCGGAGACUAUCUGCCGCAGAGCCUCACUUUACAGCUCUCUGAUGGAAGAGGGCACGGAACCCCAGGGCAAUAGUCGCCAUCCAUACUUUAUUAAAGGCCCAGGCAAGCUCUUCAAAAAAACAAGCUCUGUGAUCAAUGGAAGGGCGGAGUACAAUUUAACAACUGCUUCCCCAACGCCUUGGGUUCCUGGCCACAUGCGACAGUAUAACAACAGGUUAGCCCAGCUGGCAGCCAGGCUAGAUGCUCAGAGAAGCAUCCAGAAGCGGCGUUCCGAAUCGAUGUAAGUGACUAAAAGAGAGCAUUGGAGGAAAAUCAGCAGCUUCUACCUGAUCUGAAUCUAGCCUGAGGUGCUCUUAUCACACAGUAUUUUGAAGAGACAGGGACAUAAAACGAUUUGUUUAAGAAGACAGCAUUAAGAGAAGGCAGAUGUAUGGAACAAAGUAAGUGAUGAUGGAAUAACCAUUUUAUAUUCUACGUCUCGGCUGAAAAGCUUACCAUUAUUUCAAGUGGCCUCUAGGUUGGAGGCCAUGUCCCUUGCUCUCCCAUUCAGGGCGCAGCCUGAACUUGGGUGCAGUCUGAAAUUAAACACUGAAGUAAUGAAGAGACAGCUUGCCAAAAUAAAAGUUAAAGGAUGCAGAGAUUAUUGAAUUGAUUAUUUACUGUGACACCACUGAAUUUACCUAAAAA